rnacentral:rRNA from 1 species
GAUGAACGCUGGCGGCGUGCCUAAUACAUGCAAGUCGAGCGAACGGACGAGAAGCUUGCUUCUCUGAUGUUAGCGGCGGACGGGUGAGUAACACGUGGAUAACCUACCUAUAAGACUGGGAUAACUUCGGGAAACCGGAGCUAAUACCGGAUAAUAUUUUGAACCGCAUGGUUCAAAAGUGAAAGACGGUCUUGCUGUCACUUAUAGAUGGAUCCGCGCUGCAUUAGCUAGUUGGUAAGGUAACGGCUUACCAAGGCAACGAUGCAUAGCCGACCUGAGAGGGUGAUCGGCCACACUGGAACUGAGACACGGUCCAGACUCCUACGGGAGGCAGCAGUAGGGAAUCUUCCGCAAUGGGCGAAAGCCUGACGGAGCAACGCCGCGUGAGUGAUGAAGGUCUUCGGAUCGUAAAACUCUGUUAUUAGGGAAGAAAAUAUGUGUAAGUAACUGUGCACAGCUUGACGGUACCUAAUCAGAAAGCCACGGCUAACUACGUG